rnacentral:rRNA from 1 species
UGGACGGUACAACGAGUCGCAAGACCGCGAGGUUUAGCAAAUCUCUUAAAGCCGUUCUCAGUUCGGAUUGUAGGCUGCAACUCGCCUACAUGAAGUCGGAAUCGCUAGUAAUCGCGGAUCAGCAUGCCGCGGUGAAUACGUUCCCGGGCCUUGUACACACCGCCCGUCACACCAUGAGAGUUUGUAACACCCAAAGCCGGUGGGGUAACCUUUUGGAGCCAGCCGUCUAAGGUGGGACAGAUGAUUGGGGUGAAGUCGUAACAAGGUACC